AACGCAAAUUGCACUCUUUUCGGAGAGUAUGCCUGUUUGAGGGUCAGUAUUAAUAAAAAAUCGGUAUGUUGCUUUUUUUGUGACGUUCCGGAGAUGAGUUAUCUUAAUUUUUUUAGGUUAAGAGGCUUAAAAUUGACAUCUUUUUGCGCAUUUUUUAGACGUACAUAAAUUUUUUUUAUUCGUUUAUCCUAAUGCCAAAAUCCUAUUAGAUGCGAUCAUAUCAUGUGGUUCCGUAUCUAUAAAUAUUUCGUGAUUUGACCUCAAAUCAGGUAGGAGCACCCGCUGAACUUAA
rnacentral:misc_RNA from 1 species